rnacentral:rRNA from 1 species
GACGAACGCUGGCGGCGUGCCUAAUACAUGCAAGUCGAGCGAAUCUUGAGGUGCUUGCACCUCUUGGUUAGCGGCGGACGGGUGAGUAACACGUGGGCAACCUGCCUGUAGGACUGGGAUAACUUCGGGAAACCGGAGCUAAUACCGGAUAAUCCUUUUCCUUUCAUGAGGAAAAGCUGAAAGUCGGUUUUUCGCUGACACUUACAGAUGGGCCCGCGGCGCAUUAGCUAGUUGGUGAGGUAACGGCUCACCAAGGCGACGAUCCGUAGCCGACCUGAGCGGGUGAUCGGCCACACUGGGACUGGGACACGGCCCAGACUCCUACGGGAGGCAGCAGUAGGGAAUCUUCCGCAAUGGACGAAAGUCUGACGGAGCAACGCCGCGUGAGCGAUGAAGGCCUUCGGGUCGUAAAGCUCUGUUGUUAGGGAAGAACAAGUAUCGGAGUAACUGCCGGUACCUUGACGGUACCUAACCAGAAAGCCACGGCUAACUGCGUGCCAGCCGCCGCCGUAA